UUGACCAAUGGAAAUACGUCAGGGGAUAGCGCCACCUGCAUUCAUUUUCAAGCAGCGUGAUUAUUUGUAGCAGCAGUGUUUUAUUCAUCAUUAUUUUCUCCUAUUGUUUACUUUCGUCGCAACAACUCCUAUUGACUUUUGAACUUACGAGUGUUUUGCCUGGAGUUGUCGUCUCCUACGACAGUGAAGUACACACCAAUAACGGUAUUUACACGUGUGUUGUGUUUGUUUACAUUUUUAUCGACGUGUGUCGAGGACAUUUCCUUUAGUUUACAUUGACGAAUGUCAUUCGUCAUCGAGCUGUGUAUUUCCUAUUUGGAUCCUAACAGUCUUUAUGCAACCACAAUGUGUUUUCUUUGCUAUCGGGAUCUAACUUUGUGUGUGACUUAUUCGUGCUAGUGGAAAUCGAAAGACAUCAGUUUGUAAACCGUCUCGGGUCAUCUAACAUGGCGGCCAAGCAGGUCAGGAACGCGUCACUACCAGCAGCUUGGUGCGCGAUCCCAGGAUUCCGUGCGGGAUUCAAGAUGGCAGCGCCCAUGUCUUGUCGAACACUGUAGGGCAUUGCAUCGUCUUCUUUGGCGUUUACGGUUAAUUUUGUAGGGGUAAUUAUCUGAUUUAAGGAAAAAUAAUUAAGGAACUACACGUACAACAUUAUUAGUCUAGAUUUCCAUCUCGCGAUAUUACGACAUGCAGUGUACUCGGAACUAACCGAACAACUUAACUAGUCGGAAUUUCAAUCUCCCGACGAUUACGACAUGCAGACUCCUCGGAUAAUCAACGAACAACUUUGAUAACUACAUACAGACGACUCGGAAACUCACCGAACUACAUUAUGCGUUUCCAUCUCCCGAUGAUAGCGACAUGCAGAUAAAGUGGAAAUCGUAGCAUCAGCUUACUAUGCUUCCAACUCAGUUGUCUUGGACUUUUCAGCGGUGAGAGUACUCAUCAAUCUGUCUAUUUUGACUUGUUGUACCUGACCAGACUUUGGUUACAGCGUGGAUAUCAGAGGAGCAUUCUCGAUACUUGUUACUCUAGUAAACAUUUAUAUCUUCGCGUUCACACCUUCUAUCUGUAUCUAGCGUUACUGUUUUCUAUGUACUUGUCACAGAUAUUUCUAAAUAAUUGGUUUACGGCAUAGCUGUCACACCUUUUAUCUGUAUCUAGCAUUAUUGUUUUCCUUGUACUUGUCACAGAUUCUUGUUUAUACUUGUGCGGAAUAUAUUAUGCAACUGUUAAGGAGAGCUUUGUCAUAGAUAUAUAUAGAGAUGAUGUUUCUUCCUCACUUUAUUUAGUCUGUUACUAGAUUGUUAUUAUCAUGUACUAGGUUUAAUUAGUUAUCAGUCAGAUCAAGCCUCUUCUAUUACGAGUCAAGUCACUCAUCUCAUGAGUAAUCACAACUUAAAGUCUAGGAUCUUCUCAGCAGCCAUAAGAAGUGAAGUUUUUCCUUACAAUAGCCACCAACCUAUGCCAUGUUUUAUUUGUUUAUUUUGUGGGUAAUCAGGUCAUGUCUUCAACCACAAUCAAGUCACUCUUCUCUUGAGUUGUCAUAACUCGAAGUCAAGGGUCUUCUCAGCUGUGUCUGCGAGUCAAGUUUCUUCUCACGAGUCACUGAGACUCAGAGCCAAGGGUCUUCUCAGUAGCACUUAGGAGUCAAGUUUGUCAUGCCACCAGCUACUACUUCGCUGUGUUUUGAUUCGUUAGUUUAUGCAGUCAUGUCAUCGCUUCUCCAAUCAUGAGUCAAAACUCUUCUCAUGAGUAAUCACAACUCAAGAGUCAAGGGUUUUCUCAGCUGUGUCUGCGAGUCAAGUCUCUUCUCAUGAGUCACUGCGACUCAAAGUAUGUAGUCUUCUCAGUAGCACUUAGUCAAGAGUGUCCCGCACUAGCUACCUACUACUUCGCUGUGUUUUGAUUCGUUAGCUUACGUAGUCAGGUCUUUGCUUCUCCAAUCAUGAGUCAAAACUCUUCUCAUGAGUAAUCACACUCAGAGUCAAAACUCUUCUCAGCUGUGUCUGCGAGUCAAGUCUCUUCUCACGAGUCACUGAGACUCAGAGCCAAGGGUCUUCUCAGUAGCACUUAGGAGUCAAGUUUGUCAUGCCACCAGCUACUACUUCGCUGUGUUUUGAUUCGUUAGUUUAUGCAGUCAUGUCAUCGCUUCUCCAAUCAUGAGUCAAAACUCUUCUCAUGAGUAAUCACAACUCAAGAGUCAAGGGUCUUCUCAGCUGUGUCUGCGAGUCAAGUCUCUUCUCAUGAGUCACUGCGACUCUGAGCCAAGGGUAUUCUCAGUAGCACAUAGGAGUCAAGUUUGUCACUACAGGGGUACUAGAGUCAAGUCGCUUCUCUAUGGCUCAGUAGGGUCAAGCUUCUUCUCUAGUAGGACCUUUCAGUAUGAAUGAUUUAGAGUCAAGUUGCUUCUCUGCUGUCAAGUAGAGUCAAGCUUCUUCUCUAAGUCAAGCAUUUUAGAGUCAAGUUGCUUCUCUGCUGUCAAGUAGAGUCAAGCUUCUUCUCUAAGUCAGGCAUUUUAGAGUCAAGUUGCUUCUCUGCGGUUCAGUAGAGUCAAGCUCCUUCUAUAAGUUUCGAGUACUCCAUUUUCUUUCUUCACCGUGAAAUACCUGGAGUCAAGUUGCUUCUCUGGAGUUCAUCGAUAUCAGAGCCAAGUUUCUUCUCUGGGUGUUUCUCCAAAUACUCAAGUCUUGUUAAUUUAAGUUAGCUGUUUAAGCCCUGUACACCAUUCAGUAUCCUUAUUGUAUUUCUGCUGUUCAGUAGAGUCAAGCCCCUUCUUUAGUUUUGAGUACUCAAUUUCUUUCUUCACUGUGAAAUACCUGGAGUCAAGCUGCUUCUCUGGAGUCCGACAGAGUCAAGUCUCUUCUCUGGGUGUUUCUCGGAAUACUCACAUCUUGUUUAUU